rnacentral:rRNA from 1 species
AUGGUUGCCUCCUACUUCGCCUCUCUUCGUGGCCUCGCCGAUGAGCUUGCCGCCGCGAGGAAGGCCAUCGAAGACGACGAGCUCAUCUCCUACAUCAUCCACGGACUCAACGUCGACUACCAGUCCCUCGUCUCUGCCCUCGAUGCAUGCGUCAUGCCAGUCUCCCUCGACGAGCUCUACACCAUGCUCAGCAACUUCGAUCAGCGCAUGGCCCAGUUCAAUCACUCGAGUAGCGGCGGCUUCCGCUCCUCUGCCAACGCCGCGGUGUGUGGUCGUGGUGGUGGAUCACGUGGCCGUGGCUCUUCUCGCGCCAAGGGGCAAUCUGGAGGAGAUGGUGGUGGCGGCAACAGCGGCGGCGGCAACGGCCGCUCCGGUUGA